GACGAACGCUGGCGGCGUGCUUAACACAUGCAAGUCGAACGGAAAGGCCCUGCUUUUGUGGGGUGCUCGAGUGGCGAACGGGUGAGUAACACGUGAGUAACCUGCCCUUGACUUUGGGAUAACUUCAGGAAACUGGGGCUAAUACCGGAUAGGAUCUCCUGCUGCAUGGUGGGGGUUGGAAAGUUUCGGCGGUUGGGGAUGGACUCGCGGCUUAUCAGCUUGUUGGUGGGGUAGUGGCUUACCAAGGCUUUGACGGGUAGCCGGCCUGAGAGGGUGACCGGCCACAUUGGGCCUGAGAUACGGCCCAGAAUCCUACGGGAGGCAGCAGUGGGGAAUAUUGCACAAUGGGCGGAAGCCUGAUGCAGCAACGCCGCGUGCGGGAUGACGGCCUUCGGGUUGUAAACCGCUUUCGCCUGUGACGAAGCGUGAGUGACGGUAAUGGGUAAAGAAGCACCGGCUAACUACGUG
rnacentral:rRNA from 1 species